AUGUGUUGGACACCAGCACUUGAUGUACAAAGAAAUAGCCAUGCAGAAAACAAUAAACCAGUUCAGAAUACCAAAGUCAGCUGGAUUUUUGGUUCAGCGACAUCUCAGUUCAGAGAAAAAAUUGUGAAAUUAAAUCAUAGCUCAACUAAUUCUAUAACUAAAUCAAAUACAAAACAAAAGGAGAACUAUCCCAAUCCUCACCCUCCAUUGGUCUAA